rnacentral:misc_RNA from 1 species
GACCUUCUCUCUGGCGGUUUCUCGACCGUCAUUGAGCUUUGGGAUCGCCUCUGGCCUUCCUUAAAUGCCUUAGUGUGACGAAACAUCAGUUGUGUCUCCGUCUGCACUCUAAACCGCAGUCAAUGCACUCUUG